GGGCCUGUGGCGCAGUUGGGAGCGCGCUUCAAUGGCAUUGAAGAGGUCGUCGGUUCGAAUCCGACCAGGUCCACCA
rnacentral:tRNA from 1 species